rnacentral:misc_RNA from 1 species
GUUUGAGGUGACCUCCAACAAAUUAGUCAAAUAAUAAAUUUUGCUUUUUCUGUAGCAUUCAACAUACAGAGAGUAAUGUAUGUUACACGUUUAUAAUAUGUACAUUUAUGCUGUGUGUUAACCGAACUACUUAAUUAGAGGUUCCACCACUUGCGUUUCUCCAUGGCUUUGACAAGCUCACCUGCAAGAUCCGCAAAGUUCUCCGCACCAUUUUGUAAUUCUUCAGUGUUUCUACUAAGCCUAUCAAGUUUCUCCUGACGCUCGAGAAGCUUAUCUUUUGCCUGUAAUGCAGCAGAGGCCGCAUCCCCCUUGUUUCUAUAUUUAGCAAUGAUUUCUUCACGAGUUCUAGCUGUUGGCUUGGCAUCA